UAUAUUAUCUACUAUAUGGUACAUUCCUGAAUAUACUCAUGAAUUUUUACAUAGUAUCAUCUACAGGGAAGAGGUCUUCAGGUGAGAGGGAACAGCAAGAGCAAAAACCCAGAGGCAAGAGAGAACAUAAUUGGUUGGGAACCUAAAGAAAUUUUACUUACCUGCUCUAAUUAUGGGAGGUUUGGAGGUGUUAAAGAGAAGGUGAAGACAGACUAGCCCUGAGACUUCUCUCUUGAUGACCACAGCAUCGAAAGAGGCUUUAAAAGAUCCCUUCAUCCCAUCUGGUGCCCAGGUCCCCACCUGUGGUGCAAGUAAUAGAAACCAACUCUGGGAAGGGGAGUCAGAAACUCACAGAAGGGAGAUGGCCACGUGAAGUCAGAGGUGGAGAUCAGAGGUAUGAUGCCACAAGGUUGGGGCUACCCAAGGAAAGACUCUGAAGGAAAGAGUCUUCAGAGGGUGCUUGGCUCUGCUAACACUUUGAUUUUGGAUUUCUAGUCUUCAGAACUGAGAAAACGAAUUUCUGUUGUUUCAAGCCAGUCACUAUGUGGUAGUUUGUUAUGGCAGCCCUUCUGAUCUAAUACGUCUUAGAAUCUACAACCUACAUCAUCAGUACACCUGAGUCUAGAAGUCACGAGAACCUUUACCCUCUCCUGGAUGAAUAAGGAGCACAAGGAAACUGCAAACCAGAAUCUUUCAUCCCUUCUCUUUUACUCAUGCGCUUUUGUUGUCUAAUAUCUUAAGUUAAUCCCUUUAUCCCCCACUAGAAAUUCUCAUUACUAUUUUAUACAGUCUAUGCUUUUUUCAUUUAACCACAUUCUCUACUUUCUUUGGUCCACCAGCUUUCUCGCAUCUCUGAUCUUUUUUCCAGAACUAUAUUCUUUCUGCCUGAAGCACAUCAAUAGAGGUCUUGCAGUGAGAACCCGCUGCUGACAACUUCUCACAGGUUUAGUUGGGUUUUCACUGGGUGCAGAACUUGCUCUCUGGCCAUUGCAUUUGUUUGAUGCACUAAAGAGACCAGUGCACUCUCUUCUGUCU